ensembl:snoRNA SNORD58 Small nucleolar RNA SNORD58
CUGCAAUGAUGACCAUCUUAGGACACCUUUGGAUUAAAGAUGAAACUAAACUUUAUUGGCUGAGCAGC